rnacentral:rRNA from 1 species
UACGGAGGGUGCAAGCGUUUGUCCGGAUUUAUUGGGUUUAAAGGGUGCGUAGGCGGCUUUUUAAGUCAGUGGUGAAAGACAACAGCUCAACUGUUGCAGUGCCAUUGAUACUGAAGAGCUUGAGUACAGAUGAGGUAGGCGGAAUUUAUGGUGUAGCGGUGAAAUGCAUAGAUACCAUAAAGAACACCUAUUGCGAAGGCAGCUUACUAGCUGUAACUGACGCUGAGGCACGAAAGUGUGGGGAUCAAACAGGG